rnacentral:rRNA from 1 species
UCAGGACGAACGCUGGCGGCGCGCUUAUACAUGCAAGUCGAACGAGAAGCCAGAGCUUGCUCUGGUGGAAAGUGGCGAACGGGUGAGUAACACGUGAGAAACCUGCCCCAAAGACUGGGAUAAGCCGAGGAAACUUGGUCUAAUACCGGAUACCUUCUUUUAUCACAUGUUAAAAAGAAGAAAUGCUCCGGCGCUUUGGGAUGGUCUCGCGACCUAUCAGCUUGUUAGUGAGGUAAAAGCUCACCAAGGCAUCGACGGGUAGCUGGUCUGAGAGGAUGUCCAGCCACAUUGGGACUGAGAUACGGCCCAAACUCCUACGGGAGGCAGCAAUAGGGAAUCUUGCACAAUGAGGGAAACCUUGAUGCAGCGACGCCGCGUGCGGGACGAAGGCCCUAGGGUUGUAAACCGCUUUCAGUAGGGACGAAAGUGACGGUACCUACAGAAGAAGCCCCGGCCAACUAUGUG